CCUACGGGUGGCAGCAGUAGGGAAUCUUCCGCAAUGGACGAAAGUCUGACGGAGCAACGCCGCGUGAGUGAUGAAGGUUUUCGGAUCGUAAAGCUCUGUUGUUAGGGAAGAACAAGUACCGUUCGAAUAGGGCGGCACCUUGACGGUACCUAACCAGAAAGCCACGGCUAACUACGUGCCAGCAGCCGCGGUAAUACGUAGGUGGCAAGCGUUGUCCGGAAUUAUUGGGCGUAAAGGGCUCGCAGGCGGUUUCUUAAGUCUGAUGUGAAAGCCCCCGGCUCAACCGGGGAGGGUCAUUGGAAACUGGGGAACUUGAGUGCAGAAGAGGAGAGUGGAAUUCCACGUGUAGCGGUGAAAUGCGUAGAGAUGUGGAGGAACACCAGUGGCGAAGGCGACUCUCUGGUCUGUAACUGACGCUGAGAGCGAAGGUCC
rnacentral:rRNA from 1 species